rfam:Babjeviella inositovora NRRL Y-12698 unplaced genomic scaffold BABINscaffold_9, whole genome shotgun sequence.
GCCUGGCUAGCUCAAUCGGUAGAGCGUGUGACUCUUAGCAGUACGCGAUCACAAGGUUGCGGGUUCGACCCCCGCGUCGGGUU